rnacentral:sRNA from 1 species
GAAGAAGCUCCUUUCGUCGUGUUCGUACGUUGAGGUGAGUCGCGCUUGCAUGUCACGGUGGCGUGGCGCAGCGCCUUGAUCCAGAGGGCUUGCUGGCCGAUCCACGAGGCUUAGGUUGGCAGUGCGCGGUGACAGUCAGAGGAAAAAACAUCGGGAGCUUGGCGGGUAAUUUCUCGGGUGUUUCGGGUGGCCUCAUCGC